rnacentral:tRNA from 1 species
AAGUCGAUAGUUUAACUGGCAGAAUCCCGGAUUCCAAAUCCGGAGGUGGAGGUUCAAGUCCUUCUCGGUUUG